rnacentral:rRNA from 1 species
UACGGAGGGUGCAAGCGUUGCUCGGAUUUAUUGGGCGUAAAGGGUAGGUAGGUGGUCUCAUUUGUCUAGGGUGAAAGCCUAGAGCUUAACUCAAGAAGUGCCCUAGAAACGGUGAGACUGGAGUCCUAGAGAGGGUCGUGGAAUUCCCGGUGUAGCGGUGAAAUGCGCAGAUAUCGGGAGGAACACCAAUGGCGAAGGCAGCUCGCUGGGACGGUACUGACGCUGAGACGCGAAAGCGUGGGGAGCAAACAGG